UUAAGUUCAGCGGGUAGUCCUACCUGAUUUGAGGCCAGAGUCAAAAAAUUGUCCGAGGACGAUUAGAAGCACGCUUCACAAUGCCAUUCCAGCGAAACUUAUUACGCCAGAUAGCAAUAGUAAACUUGCUAACUCCUUUAAGAGGAGCCAGUUAGACUGGCAACCUCCAAAUCCAAGCCAUUAAGAACCUAACCUGAUUG
rnacentral:misc_RNA from 1 species